rnacentral:rRNA from 1 species
UACGAAGGGGGCUAGCGUUGUUCGGAUUUACUGGGCGUAAAGCGCGCGUAGGCGGACGUUUAAGUCAGGGGUGAAAUCCCAGGGCUCAACCCUGGAACGGCCUUUGAUACUGGACGUCUGGAGAUCGGGAGAGGUUGGUGGAAUUCCGAGUGUAGAGGUGAAAUUCGUAGAUAUUCGGAGGAACACCAGAAGCGAAGGCGGCCAACUGGCCCGAUACUGACACUGAGGAGCGAAAGCCAGGGGAGCAAACCGGG